GCUGUUUUCGGCGAUGGAUCUCGCCUGGUCCGAUUCUUCGGCCCGAACCGCCGGCUCUCCGGCUGAUAGUUCCUCCUCGUAU
rnacentral:ncRNA from 2 species